rnacentral:rRNA from 1 species
UACGUAGGUGGCAAGCGUUGUCCGGAUUUACUGGGCGUAAAGCGUAUGCAGGCGGAAGGUUAAGUAGGAAGUGAAAGGGUGGAGCUCAACUCCGCCACUGCUCCCUAUACUGGCCAUCUUGAGUGCCGGAGAGGAAGAUGGAACUCCACGUGUAGCGGUGAAAUGCGUUGAGAUGUGGAGGAACACCAAUGGCGAAAGCAAUCUUCUGGACGGAAACUGACGCUGAGAUACGAAAGCCAAGGGAGCGAACAGG